rnacentral:lncRNA from 1 species
UUCGGUUCUAGUCUCUUGUUGAAAACUCAUAUAGCACAAAACAAAACGAUACAAAAAAUAUAAGUUACGGAAAGAGACGCUUAAUCGUUUCAUACUGUAAGUUUGUAACUAAUCACUAAAGAAGUUCCAAUUAGUUCAAUCUUAUACUUGUACAACAAGAUAUCACACAAAACUUGUUAUACACAAAAAAUGCUAUCCCUAGUUUAACAGAACCCUAAAGCUGUUUAAGCGAGAUCAACUUCUCGUAGCUUUUCUAACAUUUCCGGCGGGAGAAGAGAGCCGACUAACUGAAAAACCGAGAGGCUUGCACAAUCUGUAUGAAGCAGCUUCAAUGGCGGACAUGUCAGAAAAAGAGAUAUAUGAAUUGGUACACCUCGGAUCUUGCAUCAUUACAGAAGAUCUAUAUAUAUAUAUAUAUAUAU